rnacentral:rRNA from 1 species
UGAGAGUUUGAUCCUGGCUCAGGAUGAACGCUAGCGGCAGGCCUAAUACAUGCAAGUCGAACGGGCCGCAAGGUCAGUGGCAAACGGGUGCGUAACGCGUAAGCAACCUGCCCUCAACUGGGGGAUAGCCCGGCGAAAGCUGGGGUAAACCCGCACGGUCCCACGAAGUCACCUGGUUUUUUGGGUAGACAUUUAUGGGUUGAGGAGGGGCUUGCGUCUGAUUAGCUAGUUGGCGGGGUAACGGCCCACCAAGGCGAUGAUCAGUAGGGGUUCUGAGAGGAUUGGCCCCCACAUGGGUACUGAGAUACGGACCCAACUCCUACGGGAGGCAGCAGUAGGGAAUAUUGGGCAAUGGGCGCAAGCCUGACCCAGCCAUGCCGCGUGCAGGAUGAAGGCGCUCAGCGUUGUAAACUGCUUUUAUCGGUGAAGAACGGCAGUCCUGCGGGAUUGUGUGACGGUAGCCGAGGAAUAAGCACCGGCUAACUCCGUGCCAGCAGCCGCGGUAAUACGGAGGGUGCAAGCGUUGUCCGGAUUUAUUGGGUUUAAAGGGUGCGUAGGUGGUCGUCUAAGUCUGGUUUUAAAGUUGGCUGCUUAACAGUCAAAGGUGGCUGGAAACUGGACGACUUGAAUGGGAUGGCGGUAGCCGGAAUGGGCCAUGUAGCGGUGAAAUGCAUAGAUAUGACCCGGAACACCGAUUGCGAAGGCAGGCUACUACGUCCCGAUUGACACUGAAGCACGAGAGCAUGGGUAGCGAACAGGAUUAGAUACCCUG